AAUCUGCCUAGAGGAUGGGGACAACCACGGGAAACUGUGGCUAAUACCCAAUGAGCGGAGACGUUAAAGAUUUAUCGCCUCUAGAGGAGCUCGCGUCUGAUUAGCUAGUUGGUGGGGUAAAAGCCUACCAAGGCGACGAUCAGUAGCUGGUCUGAGAGGACAACCAGCCACACUGGGACUGAGACACGGCCCAGACUCCUACGGGAGGCAGCAGUGGGGAAUUUUCCGCAAUGGGCGAAAGCCUGACGGAGCAAUACCGCGUGAGGGAGGAAGGCUCUUGGGUCGUAAACCUCUUUUCUCAGGGAAGAAGAAAGUGACGGUACCUGA
rnacentral:rRNA from 1 species